ensembl:lncRNA
GACUUAUUAGGAGAGGGGAGUGGUGGUAGUGAGGAACUGCUGAGGACCCCUAAGUACUGGUCCUAAGUAGCCCUGGGCCCACCUGGCCAUGCCCAUCGGGGUGGCGCCCAUCUGAUCCUCUGAACCCCAGAAGGCACGGAAGAGCCAGUGCGAACUCCAAAACUUGGCGGCCAGGGUGCAUAAAUUAAACGCGCGCCUCCCGCCUGGGGGAGUGACAGCUCCCUGUGAUUACUGCACUGUGAAAAAUGUUAGCCUUUAGAAGGUUUCCUCCCUUCCUAUUCUGUUAGCACUCACACAGAGGUCUAUUAGCAGUGCUCCCAGCCUGCUGGGGAUGCUGGCAAGGCCACGAAAAGAACCCACUCCCCCAGAAGAUCUGGCUGCGUUUUUAGCUCCAGGCUGCUGGCACGUGCCACCUGCCCAGAAACAAUUCCUACAGGGCUACAUCUCAGGAGAGAUGUUCCAGGUCCAUGGGAGCAGUGCCAUGCAAGUGUGAGCCACUGGCUGGAGCAGGUCUGAGAAUCCUUGGGUAUCAGUCAGUAAAAGGCAACGAAACUGACCCUCUGAGCAGUCCAGGAGUAUUACCAGGCCACACAGCGAGCCAGUGGCCAUCAGGACUGAGCCUGGCCCUACAUUUUUCCAGGAUACACAGGCUUCAUCACCACCCUGUUCUGUAUUGAUUGAGGAUCUUUGGGGCUAAUUAUACUGGACACACCAAUCAAUAAACUCAUCAAUGAGUAUUAAUGGGCCAUCCAUUCUGUGCCCAGUCAUCGGCACCUGCAUUGUGACACUGUAAAAUCUCC